rnacentral:rRNA from 1 species
GGUAUCUGCCCUACACUUCGGGAUAAGCCUGGGAAACUGGGUCUAAUACCGGAUAGGAGCCAUUUUUAGUGUGAUGGUUGGAAAGUUUUUUCGGUGUAGGAUGAGCUCGCGGCCUAUCAGCUUGUUGGUGGGGUAAUGGCCUACCAAGGCGGCGACGGGUAGCCGGCCUGAGAGGGUGGACGGCCACAUUGGGACUGAGAUACGGCCCAG